rnacentral:misc_RNA from 1 species
GCUGGCACCGUUCGCCUGCGCGCUCGGCGAGGACGCGGCGGACUUCGGAUGUCCGGUGCUCGGUGGCGAUACGGUCUCGACGCCGGGACCGCUGAUGAUUUCGAUCACGGCGUUCGGCCGUGUGCCGCCGGNNNNNNGGACCGGUGCGAAGCCGGGCGACCGGAUCGCGGUCACCGGCACCAUCGGCGAUGCGGCGCUGGGCUUGCGCGUUCUCAAGGGCAAGAUCGCGGGCGAGGGGCUC